rnacentral:tRNA from 1 species
UUAAUUAAAACCAAAAAGAGGUAUAUUAUUGUUAAUAAUAAAAUUAAAUAUAAAUUAUUUUAAUUAAA